CUCUUAAGCACUUUUUUGUCCAACCGGUUGCUCAUUUUUGGUGGCAGGAAGAUUGCAACCUACCUGAACAACGUCAACAUUUUGCAUCUCGAAGGCUUUAUGGAGUACACAGCUGUGAAAUAUGAGAUCAUGCCAUCACUGCCUCGAGGAUAUCAUGCAUCACUGCCAGUAUCAGGCAACAGGAUGCUGGUCAGUGGAGGUUGUAGUGCUAUUGGAGUCUUGCAGGACAUCCAAAUCUUCAACGUGGGUUCUUUUCAGACACCAGUAUGUGGAGUUCAGUGGUAUCCCCUCUGCACUGCGCCAAGCCUCGUGCCGGACACAGCAUGAUCAACCUGGGAGGUUCUGUCCUUCCAGACACUGUCAAACUUCUUCAAUGACACAGUGAAGUGCAUAGUGGAGAAACCUGGAGAUAAGAGACUGGACCUUAAGGAGAAACUAAAACAGCCUUAUGGGGAAUAAGGGGGAAAAAUGUGACUUUUUAUCCCUGUGUCUGGCUUACAAAUUCUGAAUGAUAUGAGUGAAUGUAUCAUGGGCAGAACUCAUACAGGGACUGUUGAGUCCUUUGUAUUUGCUCUUCUGUGUAAUGGCUCUGUUACAUUAGGCUUGGAUGUAAUUAAGUCUUCAGUAACAGUUUUAUUGUGGCCACUGAAGGCUGUAGUCUAGCCUGAUUUGCUAUUUUCCUGGAGGGGGAUGUUGAUUGUCAGUUAUGGUGCAAGUUAUGCCUUUUUAAUCACACUGUUGUCAGGUGUCUGACAUUACAUUAUGGGUUGUUAACUUUUUUAUAUUGAUGUUCAAGUGGCAUUCUCCCCAUCUGAGAAAUGGUAUAGGCACCAGAUCUAACAAACAUCUCUCCUGUGUUCUAGAUAUUUUCUCACCAAUGUGUGUUGAAAGCAAAGAACUUUCUAUUUAAUUUACAUUUUUUAAGCAUGGGUUAAUUAACUGCUGCAUGAUAUUAGUUGAACUUCAGCUAUUUUACUAAACCAAUUAUUAAACAAAUUUCCACUUCCA